rnacentral:rRNA from 1 species
CCUACGGGAGGCAGCAGUGGGGAAUAUUGCGCAAUGGGCGAAAGCCUGACGCAGCGACGCCGCGUGAGGGAUGAAGGUCUUCGGAUCGUAAACCUCUGUCAGCAGGGAAGAACGGUCACUGUGCUAAUCAGCAGUGAAUUGACGGUACCUGCAAAGGAAGCACCGGCUAACUCCGUGCCAGCAGCCGCGGUAAUACGGAGGGUGCGAGCGUUAAUCGGAAUUACUGGGCGUAAAGCGCUCGUAGGCGGUAUGUCAAGUCAAGGGUGAAAUCCCCGCGCUCAACGUGGGAACUGACUUUGAAACUGGCAAACUGGAGUGUGUGAGAGGAUAGUGGAAUUCCAGGUGUAGGAGUGAAAGCCGUAGAUAUCUGGAGGAACAUCAGUGGCGAAGGCGACUAUCUGGCACAUAACUGACGCUGAGGAGCGAAAGCGUGGGUAGCAAACAGGAUUAGAUACCCCAGUAGUC